CCUCGGGUCACCUUGAGGCGGGGGUGCUUGCCCCAGGCUAGACGCUUGGAUUCCUGAAUGGUCCACGUUCAGAUGACGUGAGGCCCGUGGUUCUCAGUCUUAAACUUACAUAACAAAGUCCUUGGAAUGAUUGUCAUUAAUGUGGAGAUUUCUGGACACCGCCCUUCCACUUUGUAAUUCAGUUGACUGCUCACCGGAUUUUCAGUUUUCUAUGAGGCCCAAUUGUUGAUGGGUGGGAGUUGACCUGUGCUUGAAGGAACCACAGUAAAUCUUUACUGAAGUUGCUCUCCUUAUUAA